rnacentral:rRNA from 1 species
AUGGACGAGCUCGACGGAGACGCUGUCCAGCCCGACCACGGCCACGACUACCUCACACACAAAUCACGCCUGCCGGAGUGGCUAUUACUUUGCUGCAGCAGAGUUUGCAACGGAUGCUUGCUUCCUGAGGUGAGUGACCACCUAUGCAUCGUGACGGCAGUGGAUGAUGGCAUCACCUACAAAACCCCAAUGUUGAGCUCUCUCCCUACUCGCUCUGAGCCAUACCCGUCAAGACAAGUUGCUCUUCUUCGUCUUGGACCAGAACCCCGGCGGCUGGAUAAGAGCAUAGGAGCAAGCAGAGCAGAUGGUUUAGCCGGCCUCCUCCUCUCUCUCCCUUCCCUUGCUUUCACUCGCUUUUGGCACCCUCACCGCCAUUGGUCGCAUACCCAGGUUCAUCUCUCCCCUUCUUUGCCCCUGUGUCUCUUAUUUAUUUAA